rnacentral:rRNA from 1 species
AUGAAGCUGGAAUCGCUAGUAAUCGCGGAUCAGAAUGCCGCGGUGAAUACGUUCCCGGGUCUUGUACACACCGCCCGUCACACCAUGGGAGUUGGGAAUGCCCGAAGCCGGUGACCUAACCGAAAGGGAGGAGCCGUCGAAGGCAGGCUCGAUAACUGGGGUGAAGUCGUAACAAGGUACC